UGGCCAUGCGGACUAUUUGUGCAUUGACCUAGUUUUCCAUUCUCCUCUCAGAUCACCCAUUCACCCUUUCUACGCCUCGGGAAACUGAGCAGUGUGGAUCUCAAUGAUGAUGUACGUGAACUGGAAACGGAGGCCACUAACCAGUUUCCCAGUGAGAUUCCUCACAACGAGAAGCUGCUCUCGCUCAAAUAUGAGAGCCUGGACUACGACAACUGCGAAAACCAGCUGUUCUUGGAGGAGGAGAGGCGGAUCAAUCACACGGCAUUCCGAACGGUGGAGAUCA
rnacentral:lncRNA from 1 species